rnacentral:rRNA from 1 species
UUGGUAAGGUAACGGCUUACCAANGGCGAUGAUGCAUAGCCGAGUUGAGAGACUGAUCGGCCACAUUGGGACUGAGACACGGCCCAAACUCCUACGGGAGGCAGCAGUAGGGAAUCUUCCACAAUGGACGCAAGUCUGAUGGAGCANCGCCGCGUGAGUGAAGAAGGUUUUCGGAUCGUAAAGCUCUGUUG